rnacentral:ncRNA from 1 species
AGUCUUCAGGGCAGGGUGAAAUUCCCGACCGGUGGUAAAGUCCACGAGCCUAGUACUUUAGGGUCUAGGUUGAACUGGUGAAAUUCCAGUACCGACAGUAAAGUCUGGAUGGGAGAAG